GGGGGGGGCAGAGAACGUAGAGUACAAGUCAAAGAGGCACGAAGAGAGGGGCCGAUCACGGAGGGAGUUUCGGAAGGUUUUGGAGACUCCGCCGAAGAAUUGGCUGGCUGUUGUGCGAGCUUUUCAGAGGGUUGACAAGAAGUAUUGGAAUUGCCUAAGACCAGUUUCUGAAUCAAGCACUCAAACUCAGCCUAUCAGUGAAAGGAGCAAGAUCGAAAAGACUUAUCGAUCAACAUUUGCAUGUAUCUGAUAGGACUUAAUUUUAUACUUAUUUUUAUCUAGUUUCGGUCUUAACUUUGUGUUAUUUUUCCUACUUAUUGUGAGUUUUUAUGAAUUUUACAUAAUUUGGAUUUCUUUUUGUGGGAAACAAGCCAGAUUCAAAGAUUUGGGCUUUAAAGAAGAUUAUAUAAAUUAAUUUAUAAUAUUAAUUUCAAAAUCAACAUUAUUGAAAAUUAAUAUAAUAAUUUCUUCUCAACCCUAAUCCCUGCUUUUUCUCUUCUUCCCUUACCUAAUCCCUGCCUUUUCUCAUCUUCCCUUAUCUUCCGAUUUCCUCCUUUUAAUAUUAAUUUUCAAUAAUAUUAAUUUUAAAAUUAAUAUUAUAAUUUAAUUUAUAAUAUCUUCUUUAAAGCCCAAGUCUUUGAAUUUAUUUCCUUUGCUUGUUUUCUCCAAAAAGAAAUUCUAAUUAUGUAAAAUUCAUAUAAACUCACACCUUAAGUAAGAAAAAUAGCACAAAGUUAAGACCGAAAAUAGAUAAAAAUGUGCAUAAAAUUAAGCCCUAUCAGUACGCAACCUAUCCCUUUGUAUGAGAGACACCAACUGCAAUCACAAAAUCUGGAAGAAGACAACAUGAAUCCAUCACUUGAACACACAUAUAGUGAAGGCUAUGUUCCAGCUGAAGCUCCUAGACUUGGUGAUGAUCCACCUUCUCCGAUCCAGAAAGUUUCACUCAGCAACUCAUUAUACAAUUUAGGUGAUCUCAAGAAACCAAAACCUGGAAGUGCAAGUAACAUGCCCUAUAGUUCAAGAAUUGAACUGAAUAAUCAUCAAAACAAUUUGUUGUUGGCCGGAAAUACUUCUGCCAGCCUCUUCAGUGGUACAAAUUUUACCCAAAUGUGUCAACAAAAAGAGCACAUUUCUACUGCAACUGGUGUUCUUGACUCUAGCAACAGUAAUUAUAUUGGGCUCGUGGCUAGGCAUCAACUUAUUUCGAUUUUAACAGUGGCCUGAUGAACAAAAUGCAAUAUAAAAGUAUCAAUCCUGUGCCAACUUUGAGUGGCAAUCCUGUGAAUGAUCACUUGGGCCAAGAAGUGUCUUCUUCUAUUGGGUUUCAGAUUACAACUAAUAUCUCACCAUCCUUGACUUCCAUUCAACAAGAGAAUGUUUCAGUGCCACCUCUGUCUAAUGUUUCUGAUCUUGAUGGGAUAACUUUUGACCAACGGUAAGGUGAAGAUGUGUUUUGACUUAGUUUUUUGGACGAUAUUGGCACAGAAGUAAAUCCAUUUCAGCAACCUGCAGGCAGUGAAGGUCACAGUUUGUCAGAUGAAUAUUUUCUCCCAUCUAAUCAAAAGCAUCCUCAAAUAAAUUAAUCUGGUGAUGAAAAUCUUUUGGACUUGUUGAUUGGCUCUGAAGAUAAUUAUACUGGUGGACGGAUGCAACAAUCAGAAGGCUUGUUGUUCUUUAUUUACUGCAAUACGAUUUAUUUAAUGAAAACGCUAGUAGAGAUUGACUCAAAGCAGCAUGUAUUCCUAUAGGCUCAGAUAUUGACUUAUAAGUUGUUUUUAGAUUGAAGAUGGCAUAAACUAUGAUUUAGAAACUCUGGUGCGUGCGUAUCUGGAAUGGCUAUCUAGAAUAGUUCCCUUUCAUGUUGUUAUGAUUGGUUGUCGAUGGCCACCAGAGCUUCCGAAUGAAAUAGUUGAAUUAUUUUUUGUAAACUUUGCCCUGAUAUUGGAUGCUUGGUGGUGGCAUAUAUAUAUUUUUUUGUAGUUGGAUGCUUGUCGUAUAAUGUAGUUGGCCAGUAGG